rnacentral:lncRNA from 1 species
AAAAACCUAAUGAUCCUUAGUUGAGACUUGUCCUACAUUAGUGGAGAGGGAACCGCGAGGAGAGCUUAUGGUUGUUCAUUAUCUUGUUUUCUUGAAGCUAUGAAAAUGUAUUUUAUAUGCCUUGAUUAUUGCUCGACAAAACAUUUGUUGAUUCAAGCUUCGUAUGUGUGCGUGAGUGUUUUAAGAAUUCUUAGUGUAACCUUUUUCGAUUGAGUUCACGAUGAUGGAAUGAUUUUGACGGUUUGGUAUCCAAUGGCGAUGUUGCAUUGUUUGCGGUAUUUGCAUAUGUUGAAUCGAGUUUCGUUGUGAAGUUGUGGUCUCCUAUAUAGAAUAGAUGUCGAAUUCUAAGUCAUGCUUGAGGACAAGCAUGGGAUAAGUGUGGGGAAAUUUGAUAACUUGCAAAUCCAAUUUUCUUUUAUUGUUAUAUUUGUGUUGAUUUGGUGUCAUUUUGUGCUUAAAAGAGUGGUUUAACUUGAUUUAUUGUUUUUAUGCUAGGAAAAGUUGGAUUUGAUAUGAAUGAAGCAAAAAGGAGCACAAUUGAAAUGUUUUGGAGCAAGGAAGGAGCUGCUGGAAUUUUGGAACACAAAUGCAAGUUGUUAGGCUCUUAGCCUUGGGCAAGACUAAGCAGGAAAUCAGACCAGCGGACUGAUUGUGAUAUUUUUGGCUGGUCACGACUUCUUCAACUAAUUCCAGC